rnacentral:rRNA from 1 species
GUGGGGAAUUUUGGACAAUGGGCGCAAGCCUGAUCCAGCAAUGCCGCGUGCAGGAAGAAGGCCUUCGGGUUGUAAACUGCUUUUGUACGGAACGAAACGGUCCGGGUUAAUACCCUGGGCUAAUGACGGUACCGUAAGAAUAAGCACCGGCUAACUACGUGCCAGCAGCCGCGGUAAUACGUAGGGUGCAAGCGUUAAUCGGAAUUACUGGGCGUAAAGCGUGCGCAGGCGGUGCUGUAAGACAGGCGUGAAAUCCCCGGGCUUAACCUGGGAAUUGCGCUUGUGACUGCAGUGCUGGAGUGCGGCAGAGGGGGAUGGAAUUCCGCGUGUAGCAGUGAAAUGCGUAGAUAUGCGGAGGAACACCGAUGGCGAAGGCAAUCCCCUGGGCCUGCACUGACGCUCAUGCACGAAAGCGUGGGGAGCAAACAGGAUUAGAAACCCUUGUAGUCC